CCCGAAACAAACAAAAAAGGCUCGGCCGCUCGUAUCCUUGUGAGCGAGCGGUGAAUCCUUCUGGCCGACUCAAACUUGAAAUUAUGGUUCGAGUCUGGCGUCCAAGUCUUCCUUGCUCCGUUCGCGGAGUGAAGGGGAGCACCGCAAACAAAAAUUUUGUAAACUAAGAAAAAUUUUGAAAUGAAGCAAUAAAACAAAGACAAAAAGACGAAAAUAAAAAAC
rnacentral:misc_RNA from 1 species